CAGCAACAGCAAUAACAAACAUAUAUUAAUUUUUUUACUCACCUCUAACUUCAAGUUAACAUUUCUCCCAAUUUUGAAUUAAAAAGAAAACUAUUCUGUGUAGGGGUCCACAGGCUUCAUUAGACUUUAAGGAGUUUCAUGAUACACAAAAAUUAAGCCUCCCAAUGGAUUCCAUGGAAUUUCCCAUGGAAAAUGAAUACUAGCACACUGAAAAGUAUUAAACUAAUACCCAUGGAGUAGAGAAUCUAUUACUACUGAUCGAUUUGCAGCUGCAAAGAACCCCAGAAAUUAUCUAGUCAAUGCCUUUAUUUUACCUUAUUUUUCCCCAACCUCCUUUUUUUUUGACAAAUAAGGAAACUGAGGCCCAAGGUCAUAGAAGUAGAAAAUAGUAGAGAUAUGAGGAAAAGCCAAAUCCUUUGAUUCUAAACCCAGCACUUUCUACUGCCUCCCAAGAGCUUUGUGAGCAAUAGAUGCUUUUUAAAAAAAAAAAAGUUGGAAAUUCAAAAGCUUUUCAUCUCAGAUUAUUAAAUGAAAAAAACAAAAAAGAUGAAGCAGGUCAGGAAUUUAGCAUUUUGAUUUUAGUGCCAAUAACCACUCAGACCAGGGUUAGAGAGCAAUUUGUUUUUUACUCUGUUUGCCACUGGACUGAUUUUACCCCCACAGUGUAAUCUUAUUUUGCUGCUGUUGCAAAGGACUAAAUAAAUUCAUUCUUUGUUCUCUGAGGAGACAAACACUCUUACCUUCUUUUUAUCAUUACAGUAUUAUGUACUUUUAGCCUGAACAUGCUUUCAUGGAAAAAAGGGGAGUGCACCCAAAGGCAGACAGAUCUUGCACAUGCUCCAAAGAAAAUAUUGUCCUCUGUUGUGAGCUGCUUCUUCAAACUGCCAAAAUUCUUUGAAAACCCCGAAAUGAUCUUUUUUUCCUUAUUCCAGGCAGAAUGAAUAAUUAUCCAGGAGGUCUUUCAAAAACAUUGACCUACUCAUGUGGAGGCAACCUAUUAACCUGACCAGUUUUGUUUUGUACCUUAAGACACAGAAAAUUAAAUGACCUGAAUGAAGAGUGGUUUGAACUACAUUGGUCUCUCUCCCAGAAGCUAUGGCACCGCAUUUCUUACACAGAUCCAGAAAUCAAGAGGAUACAAUAUACCCAGAGAGAAAAAUCUGGAAAGACUUACAUGAACUGAUGCAUAGUGAAAUGAACAAAACAAGGAGAAUGUUGUAUACUGUAACAGCAAGAUUAUUCAAUGAAGAACUGAGUGACUUAACUAUUCUCACAAUACAAUGAUUGAAGACAAUCCCAAAGGACUCAUGAUGAAAUAUACUAGUCUCCUACAGAGAAAGAACUGAUAUGGAUUGAAUACAGAUUGAAGCACUCUAUUUUUCAUUUUCUUUCUUUCAUUUUUUCUUUUUAUUCAAGUCUUCUUGUACAAAAUGACUAACGUAGAAAUGUUUUACGUAACUGUAAAUGUAUAACAUGUAUAUGAUUGCUUACUGUCUCAAGGAUUAGGGGAGGGGAGGAGAAGAGGGAAAGAGUUUGAAACUCAAAACUUUAAGUAAAAAUAUUAAAAAAAAAAAUACUACCACA